AACGCUUUAAUUUAUCCGCCGGGGGAUAACGGCCCCAAAAUUAAAACUCAAAGGAAUUGACGGGGGCCUGCACAAGCGGGGGAGAUUGGGGUUUAAUUCAAACCAACCCGCAAAACCUUACCAGCCUUUGACAUCCUAGGACCACUUCUGGAGACGGAUUUCUUCCCUUCGGGGACCUAAUGACAGUUGCUGCAUGGCUGUCGUCAGCUCGUGUCGUGAGAUGUUGGGUUAAGUCCCGCAACAAGCGCAACCCUCGUCCUUAGUUGCCAUCAUUUAGUUGGGCACUUUAAGGAAACUGCCGGUGAUAAGCCGGAGGAAGGUGGGGAUGACCCCAAGUCCUCUUGGCCCUUACAGGCUGGGCUACACACGUGCUACAAUGGCGUUGACUGUGGGCAGCUAGGCCGCAAGGCCACGCUAAUCUCUAAAAGACGUCUCAAUUCGGAUUGUUCUCUGCAACUCGAGAGCAUGAAGGCGGAAUCACUAGUAAUCCCGGAUCACCAUGCCACGGUGAAUACGUUCCCGGGCC
rnacentral:rRNA from 1 species